rnacentral:rRNA from 1 species
AGUGAACGCUGGCGGUAGGCCUAACACAUGCAAGUCGAACGGCAGCACAGUAAGAGCUUGCUCUUACGGGUGGCGAGUGGCGGACGGGUGAGGAAUACAUCGGAAUCUACUUUUUCGUGGGGGAUAACGUAGGGAAACUUACGCCAAUACCGCAUACGACCUACGGGUGAAAGCAGGGGAUCUUCGGACCUUGCGCGAUUGAAUGAGCCGAUGUCGGAUUAGCUAGAUGGCGGGGUAAAGGCCCACCAAGGCGACGAUCCGUAGCUGGUCUGAGAGGAUGAUGAGCCACACUGGAACUGAGACACGGUCCAGACUCCUACGGGAGGCAGCAGUGGGGAAUAUUGGACAAUGGGCGCAAGCCUGAUCCAGCCAUACCGCGUGGGUGAAGAAGGCCUUCGGGUUGUAAAGCCCUUUUGUUGGGAAAGAAAAGCAGCAGGUUAAUACCCCGCUGUUCUGACGGUACCCAAAGAAUAAGCACCGGCUAACUUCGUG